rnacentral:tRNA from 1 species
GAGAGGUGGCUGAGUGGUCGAAAGCGGCACCCUGCUAAGGUGUUAUACGAGUUUUUCGUAUCGAGGGUUCGAAUCCCUCUCUCUCC